AUGCAUCCACCUGUGAGGUGGAAUGUGCUAUCUGAUGGGCAGCCUGUCAAUAGUACUACCCUACAGAUUAGGAUGUGGUCAGGUGGAAAAAGAACAGGUGGAUUAUGCUCUGUGAAGUCCUCCGUCGGGUGCAUGCUCUGGGGCAGACUUCUGCUCUGGGCAGUGCUGUCCACGGAGCCAAAGUCAUGGUGCUGAAACCUGAAAGCUCAGAGCAGGCAAAGGAGCUUGGAAAUCAUCUGAAUUUACUCUCUUUUGCAGACACUAUGUCUGAGAGUCAAUGUGUUGUCCAUCUCUUCCUCCAGACCACGCUGCAAACUGAUCAAGGUAAUGGAAACAGUGGAACUCGAAUACUCGGCUCUCCUGACUCCCAGUCAGUGCCUUCUCAAUACGCAGUGAUGCGUGAGGUUGUUUCUGGCUUUGAGUUAACUUCCGGGCUGGAAGACAGUUCCCACAACGGCUGGGAUCUGGAUCUGUCUACUCUUUUUUCAUGGAGCGGGGGGAUAUGGUCCCUGCCCUUCUUUCUCCCUAGCAGUAGCUCUCUCCCCACCCUGCUUGUGACAUGGUCAGUGUAAAUUUUAAUGUGCUAGAUGGCCAGCCAUCCCCCUCCCUAACAGGCCUCGCAUGCUGCAUAUUCUUUUGUUACAUACCUUGAUCUGCUUUGAUUUUGAGAUAACCAUAUAUGUGUGUCUGCCUUUUGGCUAGAUUAUAAGGCUCUGGGGCUCUGGAGGGGUUAGCUCCAUUGUUGAAAUCCAGCUUUGUCCCUUGGUAGAUCCUUCUGGAUCUUGGACAAGUCACUUUGACAUUCUAAUUUUUUUUUAAUAUACACUUUGAGAUAAAAGCACCCCUAGCUUACAUAUGGUGAAAGUAAUAGACGCAUGUGAAGUUGGGAUCCACUUUUCCCAUCCAGUCCUACUGCUAACUCCAUUCUGUGGCUCUCAGGUGCGGGCCACCAUCUCCUAACCAGAGGGGCCACCAUCUCCUAACCAGAGCCAGGCUCCUUACCUCCCGUGUGACCCUCAUCCAAGUGUGCUUUCAAGACAAAGAAGACCUGAGGUCCCAGGGAGGUAGAGCUUUAUGUCAUUCACAGGGUCACCUUCUGGCCCCUUUCCAGGAGGCUGUCUCACAGAUCACCAGCUGUCCUUUCUGUUCACCUUCUGUCCCUGCUCUGUAGCUCAGCUCUGCCAUCACCCAUUCUUUCACUUCCUAGCUCACUCCCAUUUUGUUUGAAGGAUGGUAAUGAAUUCUUUCAGGAGAAAAAUCUUUCCUGCUUCCCUUUGUGCUGAUUAAUGUUUGUUGGAUUGAGACUAACUGGAUGAUACCUGAUGUGGGACUUUUACCUAGGCCUUGGUUUCUUAUGCACAGGCAUAUUAUACUACUUCCUGUCCCGAAGCUCACAACAGGAAGUGACCUCCUUCCUGAUCCUUUGUUUCCCAUGCAGCCCACCUAGACUGGAUGCAGCUUCAGGAAGGCCUGCCUUGCGUUGCUCCAGCUUGCAAAGCCCCUUCGCAUCCAGUGGAGAUGAACUGAGUUAGAUUACUGAUUCUUGAAAUUCAUGGUGGCUUUUAAUUAAAUGGGGAGUUUCCCUUUUGCAGAAGACAUCAGAUUCCUCUGAGAGCAUCUCAGCUUGUUUUCUAGGAAAAUACGUUUCUAACAUAUGUGGGGUAGAAACUGAGUAGAAAUUGACCCUUCAGAGCCUGGUGCCCUGGUUUCUAAAGGAGAAAGAUACUUUGAAGAACAGAGACAAAAGUCUUUGGAGCUGGGAAGUCAGGGAGAAAGGAGGUAAAGAAUGGGGAGAGAAGGACCCAGGAGACAGGAGUGAGCAUGAUGACAGGAUGUUGUGCCCUUGGUGUUAUGGACUUUCACCCUAGCACCACGAUUUCUCCCAAAGAAUGGAGGAGCCCCGUGUACCUGGCUCUCUUGAGGAUAUGGUGAAAAACUGCUUCUGCCCGUGGGUGGUGGAAGGCUAGUCCAGAGAUUGCACAUCUCUGUGAUUUCACAGAGUCUGGAUGGAAGAGGAACGUAGGAAACCAACUCUGGACUUCCCCAAACCUUUACAAUUCAAGUCUGAUGCAAUGUGUGUGGAGGGCAGUAAUUCAAGGAAAUUAAGUCAAGAAUGCAAGGGGCAGAAGGCCCCCAACUGACCUCUGGGUUAGACUCAAGUGGAGCCUGGCACAGAGUCAUGCAUUUAAAAUAAUAUCCUGCCAGGAUUUUUGUUUCCUCAGAAAGGGAUAUGGCAAAAUUUCAAAGGGAAACUGUUGAUAUCAGGAGGCCACUUGGGGUCACCUCAUGCAAACUCCCAUCUAGCGUGGGCAUUAAGUGAACUUUAGGAACUUGGGGUCCUGCUCUUAUUCUCCCCACUCUGCCUUCUCUCUCAAUAUAUACCAGUGGAAGCUUCCUCCAGUGACUUGGCAUCUUCCAAAUGCCACUUCCCCUUCCACUGAGAUCCAUGGAGCCAGAUUGGCAGAUCCUACAACCUGAGACGGGGUCACUGGAGCACAGGGGCCAGCCAUGCUCAGCUUUCUCAGCUGCCUCAUCAGGAAGAGGAGACUACCAACUAGAAACCUGUGAAUUCUUGGAGAAUGAACAAGUUGGUUUUCUGCAGUUUCCCCACUUGAUUCCUUUCCCAAGUCCCCAGGCAGCCUUCUUGUCUCCCUGCAAGGCUGCAGCCAGAAGCAAUUACAGUGGCAAUACAAGCCCGGAAGAUGGGGACCGAUAUUUUUCAGUAUGACCGACCCACAGCUGUUCAUAUAUUUGGUUUCUUUAACAUUCUUUCCACUGGCCUUAACCAAAGAAGGAGUUUCUUAAAGUAUAACAUGGUAUACAUUAAAAUUAAUAGUUAAAGUUCUUAAAUUAAAGAAUGACCUUACAUAAUUCUUGGGUUAACAAAAUCACGACUGCAAUAAUAAACUACUUGGAAAAUAACCAACAGUGAGAAUAUUGCGUAUCAAACUCAUGCCAAUGUUGUUCUCACGGGAAAUGUCGCUGCUCUGAAUGCAUUCAGAAAUAAACAAUAAAAAUUGAAAAGAAUUAAACUGAGAAGUGUUAAGAAGUCAGAAUAAAACAGAACUAUGGAAAGCAAGAAUUUUUUCAAAGA
rnacentral:lncRNA from 1 species